GACCUGCAGAACAACACGUGAUAGUUCUGCCACUCUUCGCGGACAGGGAUGGGUUUUUCUUCCUCCUGACAGCUGGGUAAAGACUGUGGAGUGGGGAGAGACAGAAGGCAGAAAAUGGGGCGAGGCCAGAGCCGGCAAGGUGAAGUCGACGGGACACUUGAGGAUGAGAGAAGGUGUUCUCUUUGUUGUGAUGUAGGCCUUUCUUCGGGUUCCCUGAAACAUUUCUACUGAGGUUUAUUUCACUCACAACUGAGAUAGAAGAAGACGCUGAGUCACCAUUGUGCAUGUGAGAGGGAGCAGGACCCCAAGAAGCACAAGACAGGAGGAGACCUGAGAGUAUUUUGACUAGGACAUCCAACUGCCUUCUGGCCUCCAUUGUUUCUGGUGAAAAGUUUUAGGAUCAAAGGGUUUAAGCUGGAGAGGCUAGAAGUUGGAGUUGAGAGAAUUUCUUUGGAGAGCGCUAUUGAUGUGCUCUGGGUAACAGC